rnacentral:rRNA from 1 species
UACGAAGGGGGCUAGCGUUGUUCGGAAUUACUGGGCGUAAAGCGUGCGCAGGCGGCUUCUCAAGUCAGGGGUGAAAGCCCAGAGCUCAACUCUGGAAUUGCCUUUGAGACUGAGUGGCUUGAGUACGAGAGAGGUGAGUGGAAUUCCCAGUGUAGAGGUGAAAUUCGUAGAUAUUGGGAAGAACACCGGUGGCGAAGGCGGCCAUCUGGGACAACACUGACGCUGAAGCACGAAAGCGUGGGGGAGCAAACAGG